rnacentral:misc_RNA from 1 species
GAUGAAGAACGUAGCGAAAUGCGAUAAGUAAUGUGAAUUGCAGAAUUCAGUGAAUCAUCGAAUCUUUGAACGCACCUUGCGCCUUUUGGUAUUCCGAAAGGCACACCUGUUUGAGCGUCAUGAAUACCUCAAUCUCCAUCUUUUCUUCGGAUUGAUGGGUGACUUGGAUGUUGAGCCCUGCUGGUAUGCUAUAUCAGCUGGCUUUAAACUUAUUAGCCGGCUCUGUACUGGAUCGGUUUGACUCGACGUGAUAAUAUUAUCGUUGAGGAUGCAUGUCUCAUGCAGCCGGAAAGUAUCAAAGCAGCUUCUAGCUUGCCUUUAGUGCACUUUUACAUUUUAGACCUCAGAUCGGGUGGGACUACCCGCUGAACUUAAGCAUAUCAAUAAGCGGAGGA